rnacentral:rRNA from 1 species
GUGAGGAAUAUUGGGCAAUGGGCGAAAGCCUGACCCAGCCACGCCGCGUGAGUGAUGAAGGCCUUCGGGUUGUAAAGCUCUGUGGGGAGGGAAGAAAAAGCGCAGGAGUAACUGCCUGUGUGUUGACGGUACCUCCUUAGCAAGCACCGGCUAACUUCGUGCCAGCAGCCGCGGUAAUACGAAGGGUGCAAGCGUUAUCCGGAUUCAUAGGGUUUAAAGGGUGCGUAGGCGGAGCGUUAAGUCAGUGGUGAAAUCCUGCAGCUUAACUGUAGGCUUGCAAUUGAUACUGGCGCUCUUGAGUGAGCUUGAAGUGGGCGGAAUGUGCCGUGUAGCGGUGAAAUGCUUAGAUAUGGCAUAGAACACCAAUUGCGAAGGCAGCUCACUAAGGCGAUACUGACGCUGAGGCACGAAAGCGUGGGGAUCGAACAGGAUUAGAUACCCUAGUAGUCC